GCGAAUGGCUCAUUAUAUAAGUUAUCGUUUAUUUGAUAGUAUCUUGCUACUUGGAUAACCGUGGUAAUUCUAGAGCUAAUACAUGCUAAAAAUCCCGACUUCGGAAGGGAUGUAUUUAUUAGAUUAAAAACCAAUGCCCUCUGGGCUCUCUUGGUGAAUCAUGAUAACUUCUCGAAUCGCAGGGCCUUGCGCCGGCGAUGGUUCAUUCAAAUUUCUUCCCUAUCAACUUUCGAUGUUUGGGUAGUGGCCAAACAUGGUUGCAACGGGUAACGGAGGGUUAGGGCUCGACCCCGGAGAAGGAGCCUGAGAAACGGCUACUACAUCCAAGGAAGGCAGCAGGCGCGCAAAUUACCCAAUCCCGAUCCGGGGAGGUAGUGACAAUAAAUACUGAUACAGGGCUCUUUUGGGUCUUGUAAUUGGAAUGAGUACAAUUUAAAUCCCUUAACGAGGAACAAUUGGAGGGCAAGUCUGGUGCCAGCAGCCGCGGUAAUUCCAGCUCCAAUAGCGUAUAUUAAAGUUGUUGUGGUUAAAAAGCUCGUAGUUGAACCUUGGGCCUGGCUGGCCGGUCCGCCUCACCGCGUGCACUGGUCCGGCCGGGCCUUUCCCUCUGUGGAACCCCAUGCCCUUCACUGGGUGUGGCGGGGAAACAGGACUUUUACUUUGAAAAAAUUAGAGUGCUCCAGGCAGGCCUAUGCUCGAAUACAUUAGCAUGGAAUAAUGAAAUAGGACGUGCGGUUCUAUUUUGUUGGUUUCUAGGACCGCCGUAAUGAUUAAUAGGGACAGUCGGGGGCAUCAGUAUUCAAUUGUCAGAGGUGAAAUUCUUGGAUUUAUUGAAGACUAACUACUGCGAAAGCAUUUGCCAAGGAUGUUUUCAUUAAUCAGGAACGAAAGUUAGGGGAUCGAAGACGAUCAGAUACCGUCGUAGUCUUAACCAUAAACUAUGCCGACUAGGGAUCGGACGAUGUUAUUUUUUGACUCGUUCGGCACCUUACGAGAAAUCAAAGUGCUUGGGCUCCAGGGGGAGUAUGGUCGCAAGGCUGAAACUUAAAGAAAUUGACGGAAGGGCACCACCAGGGGUAAACCUGACCUGUGAAGCCGCAGUCAACUCUGCUCCAGAAAGCCGCCCGAAAGGGUCGGUGGUGUUCCUAGGGGAGAGCUCUCCCCUAAACUAAUGGCUAGUCCUGCCGCCCGCGGCAGGGCGACACCCUCAAACUGACGGGGAACUCCUAAAGCCCUCGCUCCGGACAGGCGUCGGGAAACCGACGGCCUGCUCACCAGGCUAACGACCUCGGGUAUCGGAAGCAACGCGAGAGGAUGCUACAAUGGACAAUCCGCAGCCAAGCCCCUACGGUGCGGCCUCUACGGGGGUCGCAUACGGGGAAGGUUCAGAGACUUGACGGGGGUGGGUGGCGCGGGCUCUUGGGGUGCAAGCCGCGUGCUUGCUUGCAGGCCCAGGCGCCCGCCGCUGCCUAAGAUAAAGUCCGGGCGUGCGCGAAAGCGUGCGCGGCAACCACGCAACCCGCCGUUUCCAGCGGGUGCGAGGCCCCAGAAGUAAAAACAACCGGGAGCCUGCGGCUUAAUUUGACUCAACACGGGGAAACUCACCAGGUCCAGACACAAUGAGGAUUGACAGAUUGAGAGCUCUUUCUUGAUUUUGUGGGUGGUGGUGCAUGGCCGUUCUUAGUUGGUGGAGUGAUUUGUCUGCUUAAUUGCGAUAACGAACGAGACCUUAACCUGCUAAAUAGCCCGUAUUGCUUUGGCAGUACGCCGGCUUCUUAG
rnacentral:rRNA from 1 species